AUGUACAUGCUUAUAGCAUUAAUGCACUGAAUCCCAUUAAAACUCCACAGUUAAUUGUGCUUGGGAUAGAGUAGUAUUGGGAUGGGUGAUCGCCUCAGAAGUCCUAGUGUUUUACAUU
rnacentral:rRNA from 1 species